CAGCCAUGCAAUGAGCACAAAGCGAACUAUUCUUUCGCCUUUUACUAAAGAAUACCGUAAUUUGUUCAUGUUCUAACUGGGGCUGAUUUACCUGUCCAAAUGCUUGUUUCAGUUCCUGAUCUUAUACUAAUUUGCUUUUGUACGCGUAACAUAAAGUAUUGUUGACAAAUAAUGAAUUAGUCAAGUUGGUCCAAAUAUAGCCUGUUUCUCUGUGGUUAACUAACACUAUAGAAUUGAUGAAUUGUUCAGCUUUGAACUGACCUUGUGGAUCGUGGGCGUGUUAAUCAUUGGCUGUAUCUCCAAUAUAGAAUACAGAGAGAGGAAGGGUGUAAUGUAAAGAGGUACGAGGAAGAAGAAAGGACAAGCAGCCAUGUAGCGAGCACAAAGCGAACUAUUCUUUCGCCUUUUUACUAAAGAAUAUUGUGUGCUCGUUGUAUUAAGUGGCAUACGUUUAUUUUUUGAGUCUUUUCUUCAUUUUCGGGU
rnacentral:lncRNA from 1 species